AGAAAGUGACAGAGAGGACAUGUGUCUGGCUUGAAACCAGGAUAUGGGGGUUCGACUCCCUCCUUUCUU
rnacentral:tRNA from 1 species